rnacentral:lncRNA from 1 species
AUUAAAAACACAUACAUAUAUAUAUAUAUAUAUAUAUAUAUAUAUAUUGAAACACAACAGCUAGCAUAUAAGCUUGCAUUAAGGAAAAGCUAAAACGUCAAAAGCUCCCAUAUAAUAAUCUUUUACACACAUAUCGAUCAUCGAUCGGUCUUAUUUCAAGCAUACAAUUACUUAUUAGAUUAUUAUAAUUAUUAUACUCAAAUGUUACUUAAACAUUUGAAGGUGGGGCAAUGACGGCACCCUUAGCAAUCUUGGACUUGAAAGACUUUGUCAAAUCCGGAGUCAUAUUCAGAGAGGCCUCUAAAAUUGAUGGAGAUGCUGCUUCCCAAACUGAUUUUUUUCCACCUGAUAAUUCUCCAUAUACUUCCCUGCAAAUAUAUAUAUCGUAAAACAUUGUAAUUAGUACAUACUAUACUAUACUUUAGGUGAACUAUUUAACGUCCUUGUUAUCCAUCUUUGUUACAUGAUAGGAGUACUUACUUUGACGAUGUUUUCAUGGAGAAGAACUCAAUUCCUCCUUCAUCAGCUUCCACAACAAACGGAAAGAAUUUUGGUACAUAAAACAAGUCACCUUCCUCCACUUUAGUGUCCAACACAACCUUACCAAACAGUCCCACAAUUACAACACGUCCACUCCCUUUCGUAAUAUAACUCAAAUGAAUAAACGAAUCAGGUGUAUAAAUCGGACCAAGUACAGCACCACAUUCCAAAACUACGCGAUUCGCGCUUAAUCCAAUCUCUCCAAGCAACGGUAUAUUCUUAAUACUUAACGAAGAUAAAUGUCCACCAUUUUUAACCUCAACACAAGGUUUUGCACCAUCCAAGUUGUAAACAAACUUGCGUUUCGCACUGCUGGAUCCGUUUGGAAUUUGUAUACCUUCAUUUACCUUAAUUAUAAUAUUUAAACCACUUUGAUCUUUCACAAGUUUUUCAGAUUCAGUUUGGGUCAUGUGAAAAGUUUUGGCAAUUAAUUCAUUAGAAAAUCCAUUUAGUAUACCAGCGGCACUAGUUAAAAAGAAAUAACAGAAUUCUCCAGGUGUAUAGUCCUCAGAUGAUUCUCCCAAGAAAAUUAUUUUGAGUUUAGUGUCACCAGCAUUGUACCACCAUGACACUGUUCCCACAGUAAUUGGUAGGGCAUCCCCUUUUUGAAUUUUUAUAACUUCUUCUUUCGAAUCUUCUGGUGAGAUCAGUCCAGCAAUGCAUUCACCUGUGAAAAUGAAAUAUAAGUAAUAUUACUCUGUCUUAUACGUUUUCUUAGUCGUUUUAAAAAGAACUUUCUACCUGACAUGUUCUAGAUCUGCAUAUAUAUGUAUGUCCUACGUACCUUCACAAACAUAACCAAUUUUAGAGGAAUCAGCAUAGUGAGGUAAAGCAAAGCCACGAGGCUGAAGAACUAACAAUCCACCAGCAAUUUUUUUCUGGCUAAGAACAGGAAAUUGGCUACUUGACCAUGUGUAGUAUCCACCAACUCCUUCAACUUCCACUAUAGUUUUAUCGGCUUUUUUCGAUGACAAUAUCAAAUCCAUCGAUAUUUUUUUUUAGUUAUUCUAAAAAAACACAAACUCAAACUAUAUUGUAGGUAAAUAUGAUGUUCUAUGCUCAUAUAUUCUUCAGCUGUCUCGUUCUAUUUAUAGAGGCCGCAGGUAUUAGGAGUAGUAAGUAAUCAAUUAUUGAUCUUGAACUUCUAACAAUUUUUUUCUAUUUUGUAAUAAAUUAAAGAAAAAUAAUUUUGUCAUAUCACUUUCAACUAUUAAGUGAUCAUAUGUAAUAAAUUAAAGAAAAAUAAUUUUGUCAUAUCACUUUCAACUAUUAAGUGAUCAUAUAAAUUAAAUAAGACCAAAUACAUGUAUUUCUUAAAUUUUAUUUGACACUUUGAUUUAUUAUUAUUCCACUUUUUUAUAUAUGUCGAAUUAAAUUAUAUCAUAUAAAUUGAGACAAAUAUCAAUCAAAUUAUAUAUGUUUACAUGAUAGUGAUUAGUGAGAGGGCAAUGAGUGGUCGCUAUCAGUGUUAUAUUAUAAGGCGUUUAGCAUUUGGAAAAGGCAAUGUCACUAUUCACAUAUCACGUCGAUAAUAUAAUUGAGAGUGAAGUGGGUCGUUUGGUAGAGUAUAUUAAAAAAAUAAUGCGUACAUUAACUUUGUGUAUUAUUAGUACCUCAUUAGUUAUACACUCUAUUGUGUAUUAAUGUGUGUAUUGCUAAUACCAUGGAUUUCUAGGUAUUAGCAAUGCAAUAGUUUUAAUGCAUGCAUUAACUCAAUUAAAGACUCAAUUGACCCUCAAUAUCUUUUUUAUAUCUUUUCCAUCAUAAUAGUGAAAGGUAUCUUUGUAAAUAAUUUUUUUUAAUGCAAUGCAAACCAAACAAUGCAUAAAAAUAAUCUAUGAUUUUUUUAAUGAAAAAUGAUAUAAUAAUAUUUAUUCAAAAUUGUUUAGGGAGGUAAUAAAACGAUUGUAAAAUUAAGAUAUCUUUUUAAAAAUCCGAGAUAACUUCAAGUGAUGACUUUAUGUCUUUUCUCUGAUAAAAUUAAGAGUGAUCUUUUACAGCUAUACAUACAUAUUGGGAUGGCAAUUGGCCCGAUUUUAAUUUUGCACGUCUGUCCACGUGCUAUUUUCCGUCCCUACUCCCUAUAUAACUUCAUUGUUCAUGUAUUAAUUUUAUAUAUUUUUUUUCGUUUAUUUUUAAUUGUCAUGUUAUAUCUCUCAAAAGUCAAUUUAACUUAUUUUUAAAGUUAAAUUAAAUUAAACUGAUUCGAUAUUUUAAAUAAAAAAUUAGAUAUAUUCAAAAUCUAGAUGAAAAGUACUAUAAGUUGUAAUUUUUUACAUAUCAAUACGAUGAAAAAAUGCAUCGUAAAAUGUUAAUCAAAGUUUUUAUAGUUUGACUCUAGAAAAGGAAACCAUGAGAAAUAAAAAUGGAUGGAGGGAGUAUUUAAUUAGUACUUUUAAAUGUUGUAUGAAAGAUAUAUAUGUAUUAAUUUUAUAUAAUGUUUGAUUGUGUUUUAGUAAUUCUUUAUAAUUAAUAUUCAAAUAACUUAUGAAGAAAUUUAUGUAUAAUGUUAUAUUGGGUAGAAUAUAGAAUAAGUUAUGAUGAUAUUAGUUGUACAUGAAUUUUAAAAUGAUAAAAGCAUAUAUUUAUCCUUAUCACUUUACUUUCAAAAUCUUUUAUAUAUGUGUACUUUUAUAAAUAAAAAAAAUACUAUUCAUUUACCUUCUUUUUUUCGUAAAGAAGAGUUGGAAGUCUUUCCACCGGCAACUAAUCAGUGGUGGCAACUAAUCGAGUCACUGAUUAGUCUAAAUUAUAAUACUCCUUGCGUCCACUUUUAAUUGUCAAAAUUUUCUUUUUAGAGUCAACUAUAUAAACUUUGACAAAUAUUUUAAGAUAUAUUUUUUUAUCAUAUUGAUAUGAAAUUUUUUUGCAAUUUAUAGUACUUUUCUUAUAGUUUUGAAUAUCUUAAUUUUUUAUUCAAAAUAUCGAAUUAAUUAAUUUUGAAAAUGUCACGCCCCAAACUCGAGGAGUGUAAGUGGCUCCUAAUGCCAAAACUCAGGCCCGAGCCGACCCUUGCUACUAGCGCAUGGCAGCCACAUGUAAUUAAGAAAACAAACAAGUAUAUCUUGGCUUAAAACUAAGCCCUCGGCCUACAAGUCCCCUGUCAACUGAUCUAUAAAAGAAACAGCUACUCCCAGGAGAUUAUAUAAAUAAAUAUCCAACUAGCACAGAAGUCCUGAUUGGACCGUCCAGGUCACCAUGAUAUCUAUACCAAAACUAAAAGCAGGUCUAUAUCAAUACAAUACAUCAAACAACUCACAAGCUGUAGGAAACCAACAACAUAGGCCAGUAUGGCCAUAACGUAGCUAUACACCCACACACUAGUCUGCAAGCCUCUAAGAGUAGUAAAGAUUAGCGGGACAGGGCCCCAGCCUACCCAUAAAGAUAUAUACAACAAAAGUUAACAAACCUCCCAACUCUGGCAGUUUCGGAGGAAAGGAGCUAGCCAAUCGGAUAAAAGUCAAUCUUGCUGCUGAGGAGGUCUACUCGAUCGUCUGUCAGGACCUGCAUGCAUAAAUGCAGCGCCCCAAGGCAAUGGGGCGUCAGUACAAAAUAAUUUACAGAGUAUGAAAGGCAAUAGACUAUGAGGAGGUAUCCUGAUAUAUUGGAAUAAUCUGAAUAAAUAAAUCAAGGAUAAGAUAAGUGUACUGACCUGCUCCUAAAUCUAAACUUAUAAAAAAUAAUCAAAAAACAACCUAACCAAGCCCUUAUAAGCUUGGCAGGUACAAACAGCAGAUAAGACCACCUGCUCAGGCACCCAUAAUCCCGAAAGAUGCCAAUCAGCCUAUAUACCCCUAUAGGUAGUCCCCUAGCCCCAUAGGCAGUCACAUAGCCCUCUUAGGCAUUAAUAUAUCCCCGUAGGCAGCACAUAGCUCUCUUAGGCAUCAACAUAGCUUAUAGACGACUCAUAGCCCUCUUAGGCAACAACAUGAACAUGUAGGAAGCCCAUAGCCUUCUUAGGCGUCAAUANNNNNNNNNNNNNNNNNNNNNNNNNNNNNNNNNNNNNNNNNNNNNNNNNNNNNNNNNNNNNNNNNNNNNNNNNNNNNNNNNNNNNNNNNNNNNNNNNNNNNNNNNNNNNNNNNNNNNNNNNNNNNNNNNNNNNNNNNNNNNNNNNNNNNNNNNNNNNNNNNNNNNNNNNNNNNNNNNNNNNNNNNNNNNNNNNNNNNNNNNNNNNNNNNCAACAUGGCCCUGUAGGAAGUACAUAGCCUUCUUAGGCGUCAAUAUAGCCCUGUAGGCAACUUAUAGCCCUUUUAGGGAUCCAUAUAGCCCCGUAGGCAGAACAUAGCCCUUCUAAGCAUAGAUCACAUUCCUGCAGCUAACCACAAUAGCCCCAAGGGCAACAAUAACAAUCCAAUCGCUAAAAGCGAGCAAUUUAGUUAUAAGCAACCUAUACAAAUAGCCUCUAAGUCGUGUCUAACAUAGGGACUCUACUAACCGAAUAAGAAUCCCGACAAGGAAGGAUUAGAUCAACUCGAGCAGCCAACAAUCAACAAUAAUGGCUAUAAGUGUAACAAGGAUACCAACCUAAUUACAUUGCUCCUAAGCUUUAAGGAAACAUGCCGUAAGUAGGGAAUAGCCUUAACAGACCUUUCCAAUGAACGCUUGAAAUACCGUAGUUCCUUCACGAAAGUUGUUCCUUAUGUCCUUAGCUUCGCAAACACUAUAUAUACACAACUGGUACAGACCUAUAAACAGUUCAUAAUUAAUCUUAAAUCGGCAGAUUUGCCAUAUUACCCCAACUUGUCGAAACGUUCGUAAAAAUUCAUAAAAACAACCACAAAAGGGUCCCGAGAUGAUUACCUUAGUUAAGCAAGUGUAAACCUUGAAGAAACACCAAUAACUACAAAUUUAUAUCUUCAAAAACCAGCUCCAAACGCAGCAAAUAGAAGGGAAAAAUGAUUGCCACGUGUAGGGAUUACGUUUCUAGGCAAGGGGGCAAUGUUUAAUGGUAGAAAUCGUCAAAAACUAACCUUCAUCAUGCUAGAGCUUCAUAAGAACCCUCUCUUAAGCGUUCUCUCUAGUUUGGAACUGAAAUGAAAUGUUUUCAUGGCUUAAAACGUUAAAUAAGCCAACAUACCAUAUUUUUUACCUGACCCGGAUCCGACCCCAGCAGUCCCUAGUAAAACCCUCAUAACUUUUUACUCUGAUGUCGAUUUGAUACGGGGUUUUGUGCGUUGCAAACUAGACUCGUAGGCCUUCGAUUUAAUGGUGAUAGUCCUUCUAACUUUUAUAUAUUGGAGAAACAUCCAAGACAUUUGACCCAAAUUUUAGAGAAAUCUUUAAAAAGGAACUUACGAUAACUUUCGCCAACUUUUAUUUUGCCACUUACUUAACUUCAAAACUUGAGAUACAACCCUUGAACACUUAAAAUAUGACAUACCACAUCAUUUUUAAUUUAUUACUCACCCUCCUUGUCUUUCCACGAAGAUACGAGUUAAUUUAGAUGUUUUGAAAAGUCGGGGUGUUACAGAAAAUUAAUCAAAUUGGCUUUCGAAAAACGUGAUAUGAUAACGAAAAGUGGACAGAGAGUACGGGUGUUAGUUACAUAUUUUUGGAUGUUAGUGUACACUAACAAUAAUCGAUCGAGUCAAUCUAAUUUGGUUACUUAUUUAUUCGUAAAUAAUGUAUAUUAAUUUACAACAAAUUAAAUAUUCAAUAAAUUAUAAAUAAAUAAUAUCUACACAAUUGAUACAUACAUAAUUCAUACAUACAUAAUUAAUAUCUACAUAUAUAACUAAUACAUGGAUAACUUUAAUCAGUAACCAAGCGACCCCUUAAAAUUCAUGGCUACCAUGGCUGGCCAAAUUGAUAAAAUGUGGGUCUGCUAGGACAACAACAGCGGGAGAACGAUAAUAUAUUUAGUUAAAUUUCAUAAAUAAAAUCUAAAAAAGAUAUCGUAAAUUUCAAUGGUUUCUUUAUAUUCUGUCCAUACUUACCGGAGUGCCUAACAUCCUUAGUCAUUACCCACCAUGGCACCAAAAAGGUUCACCAAAACUGCCACUUGAAAGAACAAUGCGAAUAUGCUUAAUUGUUGAAAUACAAUACUAUAUUGGUCAACAAAUUGACUCUGGAACAUUCAUCUUCUCUAUGUUUCGAGGUAACCAAGAGCAUUACUAUACCCCAACGCCAUACCAGGUCUACUGGUUAAUUGUUGUAUUGAGCUUCCAUGUAACGGUGAAUGACAUCCUCAAAACAAGUUCCCAGUCAUGUUGUGAGAUUUUAACUGGCUUCUCCAAAAGUUGAUUAUUACAAAGUCUUAACAACAUCCCUCCAAGAAAGAUACUUCACCCUCAACAUUUAGGAAACUUCCAUCAUUUUGAGGCAUGUCAUUCACCCAUCGGGUGAUACUUCAAUGAGGAAAUAGCUUCAGUACAAAUGAACAUUCAAUGCCACUGGAGCUUAAUAAUUUCCACCAAAGUGUGGACAGUGAACACGGCUGAUAUUACAGUUGGUAGUCUCCGAGAUGGUUAUGCAUAACGACUACAAGAAUUCUCAUCUGAGUUUUGUAACUGAUCUUGACAUGAACAGAUAAAUUAGAGGUAUUAACAUCUUCAUUUUUAAUCACCAGUAGUCUCUGCAGGAACAAGAACCAUCUUUGAAAUGAUGAAACCGGUUCACAUCCCUUACAAUGAUCUCUCUUUCAUAUAUCUUAGAGAUAAGUUUUAUAGCAGUAUGACAGUCCCCACAGAUUCUAAGGUUCUUUGUCACUCGGAGAACUGUACCUGGGAUACCUAAAGAAUUCACCUGGACAAGGUAUAUUGUUGCAAGCUGGAUACACUCAAAAACUCACUUGUUGGUGCGACUCUGACUGGGCUGCUUGUCCAAACACCAGGAGGUCAGUCACUGGAUAUGCAGUAAAGUUUGGGGAGUCCCUUAUUUCUUGGAAGUCGAAAAAACAACAAACUGUAUCUAGAAGCUCGGCAGAAGCAGAAUAUAGAAGUCUUGCAGCAGCUGUGGCAGAAUUAACUUGGCUGAAAGGACUAUUUGAGGAACUAGAUGUACAAAUUGAUAUACCUAUCAAUAUUUGCUGUGAUAACAUGUCUGCAAUACAAAUAGCUGAAAAUCCAAUCUUUCAUGAACGAACGAAACAUAUUGAAAUCGAUUGUCACUUCAUUCGAGAUAAAAUCAAGGAAGGGACUGUUAAGCCUAUCUAUGUACACACAAAGGAACAACAAGCUGAUUUGCUGACAAAAGGACUCACAAGCAUCCAACACAUGUAUCUACUCAGCAAGCUUGGAGUGUUGAAUGUUCUUGAGCCUCCAGCUUGAGGGGGAGUAUUGAAGUUAGUUAGGCAGUUACUGUUAGUAUUACUGUAGCUACAGUCAGUUAGUUAGCUAGUUAGCACUAAUUUAACUGUUAAUUCAUAAACUGCAUUUUAGUUAGUUAGUUAGCAUUAGAUGUUAAUUCAUUGAUGUAUAAAUAGGACAAUUCACGUUGAAUGAAACAGUUCAAUUCCAUUCCCAAAAUAUCUCCUUCAAAGCUUCUCAUCUCUCUAAUGGUCUCUUAGAUCAUUCCAUGGCAUAACUUGAUCUUAGUGUGCUGAUUUUGACAAUCUUCCUCCCACGAUCUAGUGCAGCCGAGUGCGCACAAGCAGGUAAAACACUCAUAACCGUCACCCAAUUAGGCCUCACCUCCGAGUCACGAUCUAACAUUUUAUCGAACAAUUGCAACGACUCAUCAGCUAAACCAUUCUGAGCAUAUCCAGAAAUCAUAGCUGUCCACGACACUAUAUUCCUAAUUGGCAUUUCCUCAAACAAUUCCUCAGCAUCUUUGAAUAACCCAUCCUUCAUGUACCCAGCAAUCAAUACAUUCCAAGUCGAUACAUCUCUCACCGGCAUUUCAUCAAACAGUUUACGAGCGUCAAUCAAAUCACCACACUUCACAUACAUAUCAAUCAAAGAAGUGCCUACAUACAUAUCAAACACAAAUCCAGACCUGAAAAUCAAGCUAUGAACGCACUUCCCGCACCAAACAUCACACAAAUCAGCACAUGACUUGAAAACAAAGGGAAAGGUAAAAUUGUCACCACGGAAGCCUAAUGAAUGCAUUUGGAAGAAAAUCUCUAUUGUUCUUUUGGUAAUCCCAUAAAGGGUGAGUGCUCGAAUCAUGGCAUUGUACAGAAGCGAAGAGUGUUCAGUGGCAUUAUCGAAAAUACGUGAGGCAGCGUCGAUUUCACCGGAGCUGGCAUACAUGGCUACCAUUUUGGCAGCGACUAAUCCAUUGGGGAAAACCCCUCGAACAGCCAUGUGAGCAUGAACUUGUUGGCCAAGUUUAACAAAAUUCUUGCCAAUCAAGAAUUGGAAAAUGGGUGCGUAUGUAGAUGGCGGAAAUGAGUUUUGGUACAAUGGUUGCAAAAUGAUUUUCAACAUCAUUAUCAUUGAACAAAGGAAAAUUCCAAGAAUAUGGAAGUGUUCAUUUCCAAUUCAUAUGAUCAUUUGAUUAUUCUCCUUCGCAUUUUCAAUUCAAAUAUACUUUCCCUGUGAUAGCGCGCCAUAUUUUGUUAAAAAAUAUGUAGAAUUCUUUCGAGAACGGCCUCUCUACUUUCAAACUCCACUCCUGAAAUUUCACUAGUAUAACUUAGAAUUCUAUUUUACAGUUCACUUAGAUAUUCUUAUUUAUAACUUUCUAUUUUACGGUUUACUUUGAUAUUCUGAUUUACUGUUUUAAACACGGUGUGAUAACAAGUAUUUCUAACCCCACAAAACAUACUUUUGAAAGCUCAUCCACUUGCCAAAAAUGAAUGGUGGAUGUAGGACAUACAGUCAAUCUACAAAUAAUAUCGUUGCAUAUAGGCUUAAGUCAUCGAUAGCCACUUAAAGUUGUCCGCAAAUUUCACUUAAACACCUCAUCUUAGGAUUGUUCCAAUUGAACACCUGCGCUAAUAAAAAAAUUUACCUAUCGAACACUUUAUAGACAAUCAGCUGAAAUAAGAGAGUGUGUAUUAUACACUCGCGAAUGACGUGGCAUAGUAACUAAUCAAACGAAGACACGUGGUAUUGGGCCUAGAAUAACUAAUAAAAAAUAAAUUAUAAAGAAAAAUUAUAUUUUUUAGAAAGAAAAAAAGAAAAGAAAAUCAUCCUUACCUUUUUCCUCUUUCGUCAGAACCUUCCCCCAAAACACCAUACGCUGCCAUUCUUUAAUCUUACACUUAUCCUCAAACAUCAAUUUAGAUUUAUUGAUAUUCUUUCUUCUUCUUGUGUUGUGAGUUUUUUAGAGUUUGAAUACAUCAAUAAUUUCAAAGAAUAAUUUCAAAUUCAUAUUAUUCUUGCCAGAAAAAAUGGAAUUUCGCCGAAAAUAAUGAACACUAAAGUAAGAAGGCGAUCGAUCACUGAUUGCUUGUUAUUUUAAUUUUUUUUCUGUCUUUAUGUAAUGACAUUUGCUUAACAUCCCAUGUCAACGGAAAGGAAUCUCCACUUCAUCUUCUUCCCUUUUUUUGGUAUUUCUUUUGUUUUAAGAUUUAUAUCUAAUUUAUGUUUGGGUUUGAUUUGAAAAAAUAGAUGAACAAGGGAUAAAUAUGUUUGGUGGCAGCAGCGAUAACAUUUUUUCCAACGAAAAACUUAAGGUGACAAAUUUGAAUGUGUGGUUGAUUGUUUGAAAGGCUAAGGCGUUUGACAAUGGUAGACUUGUGAAUGGUAACAACCGAUUUGGUGGAAAAAAUAUUUGUGAGUGGUGAUGGCUGCAACUUGCAAUGGAAAAAUGGUGAUGGGAGCUUUUCUGUCAAAGAAGAAGAUAUAAAAUCUUUUCUUUUUUUGCUAAAAAAUUAUCCUUUUCACGCUCCUCUCUUUGUGUGUAUUACACACACUUUGCCAUGUCAGCAAAAAGGGUUUAAUAGGUACAAAUUUCUUAUUGUGUAGAUGUUCAAUAGGUACAAGUCUUAGUUGAGGUGUUCAAGUGGAAUGUGAGGACAACUUUAAGUGGCUAUCAAUGACUUAAGCCUUGCAUAUAUUACAUAUGUCGUGUGUAUAUCACUGUAAGUUCAGUGAUAUAUAAGACACACAACCACUACAGUAAAUAUACACCAUAUAUACAUUCCAGACGUAUACACCAGGUAUACAUUCAUUUCAUAACCAAUAACAUCCAUAUUUGACACAUAAAUAACAUACAUUAUUGUACAUAUCCGACAUAGAAUUAAUAAGCUUAUCAUAAAAAUGUAAAAUGUGCCUCAAAGAUCGAUCAGCGUACACACUAAUUUAAUAAGAUUUAUUUUUCUUUUAUAUUAGUACUAGUGAACUUGUCCGCGCUUCGCGUGGUUGUAAAAGAUAAUAAGUCACGAAUAAUUUUAUUAAGUAUUAUAUAGAUGAAGAUGUAUUUGCAAUAUAAUUGUUGGACCUUAAAUUGUUAAAAACGAAGAAUAAAAUACAAAUUCAAUGCAUAAUUAAUCUUUGGAGUUUUUGUCCACAUCCACACUCAUAAGUUGAUCAUAAUUCAAUAGUCCGCAUCUUAUUUUUCGAGUCAAACUAAAAUAUGCAUAUAAUAAGCAUAAAAAAUAUAAUAACAAAAAAAAAUGUGACGAUUUCUAUAAAUUCUGGCAAUAUCUCUCGAAAUAUAAUUUUUUAUUUAUUAAAGUGAUGAAUUCUAUAACUCUGACAAUAUCUCUAUUUAUAUGACUAUGACUAUUAAUUAUUUUAAAAAUUAUAAUAACAAAAAGUUGUGAGUGUAAUGAAAAUAAAGAUUAUUAAAGCUUACAUUAAAAAUAUUACAUUUUAGUUUCUUAUCAUUGCGUAGUUAAUAUAAUUAACAGAGUUAAAGAAGCGGAUUUUUAAAGUUUUUAAUAUUAUUUAUAACACAUAAAUGAUGAAAAAAUAUAGAAAAAUCUGAAAAAAGGCAAAAAAAUAAAAUAAAAAUUGUUGUAGUUUUGACCAAAGAGAGGUGUCAUAUCACUUUUUCUAUUCAUAGUAUUAAUUUAUUAUUCUAUGAUUUAAAUAUUUAAAAUACGUUUUGGUUCUUCAACUACAAAUGGUUUAGAUUAAUAUUAAGUUGUGUGUUUUUCUUUAAUUUUGGUUCUUGCAUUGUUAAUACAUGUGAAACUACAAAAAAUCAAUCAUCAAUUUAUCAAUAUAUAUAUAUAGGAGAUUGUUAGACUUGCUGAUGUGGCAUGCCUCUAAGAUAAAUUUAUUUUUAUCUAUUUUCUUAGAAUUUAAGCAUUUUUAUAUUUUAAAAAAAUAUUAUUAAUCAUUAAUUAUAAAUUAGUAUUAAUUAUUAAUUAUUAAUUAAUGAUCAGUUAUACCUUCAAAAAAAUAAGGAAUUUCAAAAGGCUACCUUUUUCCCUUCACAUAAAAAUAUAUAUUUCUAAAUAUUUCUUUUCCUUAUAUUCCUUUUUCUACAUUUUAUUUUUGUAGUUUUCUAAAAUUAAAUUUUACUUAUCUCUCCUUUUUAUUCUCAUAAUUUUUUUGGCCUCAUUAUAAACAUAUAUUUUUUAAAUAUUUCUUUUCCUUAUAUUCCUUUUUCUACAUUUUAUUUUUGUAGUUUUCUAAAAUUAAAUUUUACUUAUCUCUCCUUUUUAUUCUCAUAAUUUUUUUGGCCUCAUUAUAAACAUAUAUUUUUUAAAUAUUUCUUUUCCUUAUAUUCCUUUUUCUACCUUUUAUUUUUGUGGUUUCUAAAAAUAAAUUUUACUUAUCUCUCCUUUUUAUUCUCAUAAUUUUAUAAUAUAUAUAUAUACACAUCUUUUAUUUAUCUUUCUCCUUAUUAUCAUAAAUGUAUUUGUUUUCUUUCGAGAAUUGACUUCAUUGUAUUGAAGUGUGUAAAUAUUAUGUGUAUAUAGUAUUCUAACUGUUUUUUGUUUUUGCUUUGUUAGAGCAGAAUUUGAGUACUUUUAUAAUUAUUUUAUAUAUUUUUAAUUUUCUGCAAAUUUUAAUAGCAAGUUAAAUGAGAUUGAUUAAGAGAAAAAUCAAUUGGAAAAGCAUAUUUAUGAUUAUAAAAAGAAGGAUAUAUAUAUAUUAGAAAUAGAAGGUAUAAUAUUAAAUUAUGUUAAUAUGGAGCAAAGUUGAUUACAUUUUUUUCUUUUUAGAAAAUUAAAAAAAAUAGAAGGUGGGAAAAAGAAUUUAAUAAAAAGUAAUAAAUUGUAAUAAUGAUAAGGAAAGAUUAAAAAUAAUAAUAAAGUAUAGUAAUAAUGAAGAAAAAUAAAUAAAAUAUAUUAAUUUUUUUUCCAGAUUUCAAAGAUAAGAUAAAAUUAAAAAAGUUAAAAAAAUUGGCAAACAAAAAAAAGGAUAAGACGACGGAAGAAGAGAUCAGCAAGACAGCAACAAUGAUUCUUGAAUAUAUAUAUGGAACAAACUAAAUGCACUAUUAAUUAUAAAUUAAACCUAAAUUUUAUAUUACAUCAAAUAUUUUCUUUCCUUUUUCUUUUCCUUAUUCCUCUUUAUUAUUUUUUCAUUUUCCAUUUUCUACCAUCACUAUAGACUUUAUAUAUUCACUACUUCUAAUAACUAUCAUCUAUUUUUAUUUAUCUCCUUCUAAUUUUAUGGGAAAUCUUCCAUAAUCAAUUUCUCUCUAAAAUACCUCAUCACUUUAUGUUACAAUGAAAAAAGUUGAAGAUAGAAAAAAGUUACAAGAUAUAUCAAAUUAUUAUUUGUGACUUCAAAAUAUAAUAUUUACAAUUGUUUUGAUUCUCAUGAGAAUCCAUUGAUCACUUAGUCACGCUCUACUGCAAUUCACUAUUUCAAUUAUCAUCACAAUAGAAAAAAAAUUCCGAUCAACAUUCUUACCCAUGGUAUAAGUGUAACAUUCAGCAAAUGUCCAGUAAUUUCAUGCCCAUAUUGUUGGUGUUUUUACGUCUUGAAAUGGUAAGUGAGUGUGUUGAUGAUCUAGCAGGAUCACAAGAGUAUCAAAUAGUAUCAUUAUUGACACUUGAAUUACGAAAUUAUAUUUGAUUCAUAUUUAGGGGAUUAUAUAUCUUAUUAUAGUUGAGAACAUUAACUAAUUAAAAAUGCAGAAGGAAAAUAAAACAGGAAAAUAAAGGACUAAAGAAAUUAGUAAAACAAAAAAGUGGAAAGAAGUUAAUAACGCCACCAUUGAAAAAUUCAUAUUUUAAUAAAGUAAUAAAAAGUGCCUCUGUAUAUUCAUGUAAGUAUGCUUCAACUCUUUCUUUCUUGUAGCUGAAGCCAGGAUGGAGGCCACAUGUUCCCCUGUUGCUUCGUUUCAUUUUAUUUUCUGUGCACAAUGGAUUUUAUGUGAAUAUGAUUCCCUAACUCUCUGUUUUUGCUGGUGAUAUCUCUUUUUGUUGGCUUGACCACAAAUGAUUCCUCCAUCAGAAUGGAUUUUUUUUCUAUUCGUAUGCAUCUCCUAUUGGAGAAAUUAUUGAUUAAAAUCUUACCAAGAAAUGAUAAAAGGAUCAUUCAAAUAAUUGUAGAGACAUAUUUAAUUAAACCCUUGAAAUUACCCAUUUCAGAAGGACUACUCUCUCUUCUUUAAGAAAUCUGCACAUCUCAUAAGGAAAAGAAGCAAAUUGAAAGAGUACUUGGUUACAUAUUCUCUAGUCCUUUUAUUUUAUAUACUAAAAUAAACGGUUUUGGAAGAUGAAAGGUUUAUGGCCUUUUCAUCUUCUUCAAUUUACUUGAAUGUAUAUUGAUUUGAACUAUCUUGCUCUUUACUAAACGUUAUUUAAUAAUUAAUUAGAAUGUAUUAAUUAUUGUAGCCUUAAUUAUAAUCCAUUUACAUGGAAAAAUAGGAAAAAAAAAUACUGACAAAAUAGAAAAAUAGAUUUCCUGAUCAUUGAGGCAUGCCACAUCAGCGGCUGAAGAUCCUGCUUUAUAUAUAUAUAGAUUAUAUUAUAUAUAAGAAGUCAUCCAUGCAUUCAGGAAAAGCUAGAGCAAAGUUUCCACACACAUAGAGACAUUUCUGUUAAGAUCAGUGAAAGUGAAAGAGGAAAAAUUAUAUUGAAUGAAUAGAAUCUGUUACAAGCUAUCUACUUAUACAGAAGAGAAAAGUACUGAUACUAACUAACUAACAGUGACUCACACUUUGUUAAUUUAUUCUAACUAACUUCUAACUAAUCAACACCUGUAUAUUUAACUAGUUGCUCAACAUCCUCCCUCAAGCUAGGAGUAUGGAAAACAUUCUUCAUGCCUAGCUUGGUAAGCAAAUAUGUGUGUUGUAGAUGAGUGAGUCCCUUAGUGAAUAAAUCUGCAGGCUGUUAUGUUGUCUUCAGAUACAUAGGCUGAACCAUUCCCUGUUGUACCUUUUCCCUUAUGAAAUGACUGUCGAUGUCUAUGUGUUUGGUUCGUUCAUGGAAAACUAGAUUGGCUGCAAUUUGUAUGGCAGAUUUGCUGUCACUAUAUAUAGGCACUAGCGACUUUAGUUCCACCCCUAACUCCUUAAAGAGACCAACCAGCCAUAUAAUUUCUGCAACUGUUGAAGCCAAACUCCUAUACUCAGAUUCAGCUGAGCUUCUUGAAAUUGUAUCCUGCUUUUUUGACUUCCAUGAGAUCAAGGAACCUCCAUAUGUAACCAUGUAACCAGUGAUUGAUUUCCUGUUGUUUGGACAUGCAGCCCAAUCUGCAUCACAGUAUGCAAUUAACUGGUUAGUUGUAUUGACUGUCAUAAGUAUUCCCAUCCCUGGUGCUUGUUUGACAUAUCUUACUACCCUCAUUGCUACUUUCAUAUGAGAUGUUUUAGGGCUAUGCAUGAAUUGGCUUAGGAGCUGUACUGCAAAGGCUAUGUCUGGUCUUGUUAUUGUUAGGUAAAGCAACCUUCCUACCAACUUCUGAUACACACUAGGAUCAUCCAGCACCCUAUCAUCUCCAUUACCAGUAGGAAAAUGUAAGUUAAACUCUGUAGUUGUGAGCUUCUGAUUCAGCUCAAUAGGAGCUCCAACUGUCUUUGAGUUAGACAAUCCCAUGUCUAAGAUUAGCUCAAGACAAUAUUUCCUUUGAUGCAUAAGGAUCCCUGAUUUAUUUCUGGCAAAUUCGAUUCCCAAAAAUUAUCUCAAUUCACCCAAGUCUUUAAUCUUGAACCUGUCCUUGAGAAUAUCUUUUGUUUCCAAUAUCAACUUGAGAUCAUUCCCUGUAACAAGCAAGUCAUCAACAUAUAUCAACACCAUCACUAAACUCGGUCCUUUGUGCUUGGUGAAUAAUGAAUAGUCAUAGUGACUCUGCUGAAAACCAGAAUCAAUUAGAGCUGUAGUUAGUUUAAUAUUCCAUUGUCUGCUAGCUUGUUUGAGUCCAUAGAGUGACUUGAUGAGCUUGCACACUGUCCCCUUCUCCCCUUGGUGAACAAAUCCCAGAGUUAACUCCAUGUAUACUUCUUCAUUCAAAUCUCCUUGAAGAAAUGCAUUGAACACAUCCAUUUGAUGGAUUUGCCAAUGAGGUGCAGCAGCCAAACUUAUGACAACCCUAACAGUUCCCAUUUUUACUACAGGUGAGAAAGUCUCUUGAUAGUCCAGCCCUUCCUUUUGAUUGUAACCCUUGGCUACCAACCUAGCUUUGAACCUAUCAACCUCACCAUCAACCUUAUACUUUAUUUUGUAUACCCAUUUACAUCCUAUGGCCCUCUUAUCCUCAGGCAACUCAACAAUCACCCAUGUGUGAUUAUUUUCCAGUGCUUGUAUCUCAUCUUUCAUAGCUUGAAUCCAUCUAGAAUCCUGUAGGGCCUCAUUAUAUGAAAGUGGUUCCCUUUCCUGAGAGAACUUGGUCACAUAACUUCUAUAAGCUGGUGAGAUGCUUUGAUAGUCUACUACAUUAGCAAUGGAGUGAGAGCAAUCUCCAGAAGUGGUUUUCUUCUUUGUCAAUAUGUAGUCUGUAUGCCAGAUAGGAGGCUUAGCAGGCCUGUUGGAUCUUCUGGUCACAACAAUAUGAUUAGGAAUAGACUGUACUAAUGGAACUUGAUUCUGAUCCUGAGAAUAAUCAGCAUGUGUGUGUGUUUCUAUGGAGGGCUCAGUAGUGAUAAAUGAAUCAUGGUCUGCAGUAUCAGCAGCCCCAUGUUGAUCAGUUUGUACCAUAUUCCUGAAGACAACACAUGGUGUAAGACCAUCAUCUGUAUGUGUAAACAUAGUAGGUUCAACCGUAUUUGCCUCAUCCAACCCUGUAUCUUGAAAAGGAAAUAUAUCUUCAAAGAAUAGAACAUCUCUGCUGACAAAAACUAGUUUGGACUCAAUAUCCAAUAGUUUGUAUCCUUUUUUAUUUACAGCAUAUCCCAAAAACACUGCUUUCUUGGCCUUAGGAGCAAAUUUAUCAUUCCUUCUAAUAUUCGUAGCAAAUGCCAAGCAACCAAUAACUCUAAUGUGAGCUAGAGAAGGUGACUUGUGAUAGAAAAGCUCAUAUGAAGACUUAUUUCCAAGCACAGACAAAGGUAUUCUGUUGAUGAUAUAAGUGGCAGCUUCCACACAAUCUCCCCAAAAUCUAUUAGGCAAACAUCCUUGGAAUUUAAUAGCCCUGGCAGUUUCUAACAAAUGCCUAUGUUUCCUUUCCACCACUCCAUUUUGUUGUGGAGUAUGUGGACAGGAUCUUUGAUGAAUAAUACCAAGCAUAACAAACAGAGCAUGACAAGUGGAAUUCAAAAAUUCACCUCCAUUAUCAGACCUGAAAACUUUGACACAUUUCCCAAAUUGGUUCUUUAUCAUCAACAAAAAUUGUCUCAAAACAACAAUUACAUCAGACUUUAAAGCCAGUAAGAAUGUCCAUGUCCAUCUAGACUUAUCAUCAACUAAAGUGAGAAAGUAUUUCAUCCCAUUGUAAGUAGUCACCUUAUAGGGACCCCAAACAUCCAUAUGUAUCAAGUCAAAAAUCUCAUCUACUACAGUAUGACUCACAGGAAAUGAAACUCUAGUCUGCCUAGCUUGUGGACAGAUAAGACAUUGAUCAAUGUGAAAACUACUACAACUAAAUUCUUUUAUUUUCCUAAUUACUUCCAUAGGAACAUGUCUUAGUCUCUUGUGCCAAAGUGUUGGAUUUCCAUUAUUUGUUCUAAUUGCAGACAUAGUUUGAAUCAUUUCUUGCUGUUGAUCGGCAUUCCAGUUUAGUACAUACAAUCCAUCCUCUACAUCACCAAGCCCCUUGACCUUCCUAGACAAGAGGUCCUGAAACACACAGUAUGUAGGGAAAAAAAUAACACUACAGUUCAAUUCUUUUGUCAGUUUAGAGACAGACAAGAGAUUAAACUUGAAUGUUGGUAUACACAACACAUUUGUGAUCAAAUCAUUCUCAUUAAUCUGCAGACUUCUAAUAUGAGACACUUUAGCUGAUUCACCUGUAGGUAACUCCACAUUUCCUAAGCUUCUCACCAUGGUCUUAGAAUGUAAAUGAUUGUGAUUAUGAAUCAUAUGAUCAGUAGCCCCAGUGUCUAUAAUUCAUUUCAAGGAAGAAAUGGAAGUGGAAGUGGGAUUACCUGCCAUACAAGCACUUGUCUGAGAAUUCUCCAUUAUCUUGUUGUUCUCAUUCAAUAUAUUGAAGAUCUGAUUAAGUUGUGUUGGUGAUGAGUUCUUCAUCAUUUUCAGUAAUUGCUCUUGUGUGACUUGACAUCCUCCUUGUAAUUGCUCCCCCAUGGCUGUGUGUGCUUUCCAUUCCAUGUGAUCCUGCAUAUUUUGCAUCUGUCUUUGUGUGUUAGUACAAUCUCCCAUCACUGUAUUGAGUUUCCUCUUACCCUUGAAGUUAUCUGGAUAUCCAAUAAGCAAAUAACAAUUGUCCUUCACAUGACCAGUUGCAUUACAAUUAUCACACUUCUUCAGUUUAUUACAAUCUGCUCUAACAUGCCUAUUCAUGUUGCAGAAAUCACAAUACAAGGAAUGAAAAUUCCUUCUAGGAUAUGACUGCCUGUUGUUAUUGAAUUGUGGUGACCCAGUAGCUCUACCAGAGUACAUAGCUAAGGAUUCCAUUCCCUCAUGAAUAGAACCAGUAAUUCCUUUUUGACUUUCAUCCUGUAUGAUUAAUGCAUAUGCUUGAUUUACACUAGGAAGGCAGGACAUCAUCAGAAUGUGACCUCUUGCCAGUGAAUAACUGUUAUUCAGCCCCAUUAGAAAUUGGAGCAAUUUCUGAUACUGCAUUUGUUCAACAUAAUCCUUUGCUUUAUGACAGUCACAACUANNNNNNNNNNNNNNNNNNNNNNNNNNNNNNNNNNNNNNNNNNNNNNNNNNNNNNNNNNNNNNNNNNNNNNNNNNNNNNNNNNNNNNNNNNNNNNNNNNNNNNNNNNNNNNNNNNNNNNNNNNNNNNNNNNNNNNNNNNNNNNNNNNNNNNNNNNNNNNNNNNNNNNNNNNNNNNNNNNNNNNNNNNNNNNNNNNNNNNNNNNNNNNNNNNNNNNNNNNNNNNNNNNNNNNNNNNNNNNNNNNNNNNNNNNNNNNNNNNNNNNNNNNNNNNNNNNNNNNNNNNNNNNNNNNNNNNNNNNNNUACAUCAGAUGAGCUUAAAUGCAGUGGGUGAUUGUGAUCAAUUGUCACGAAACCUCCAUUGAUUCCAUUAUCACGAUCUGUGGAAGCUCUGUCAGUAGAUGCUCCCGUCAAUCCAUCCUCAUUCACCAUUCUGAAACAAUUCCGGCAGAAUCUCUCGAUCUAUCUUCAAUUCCUGAUAAAUCCCUAGAAUCGCCUUCCCUACUCUGAUACCAUGUUAAGAUCAGUGAAAGUGAAAGAGGAAAAAUUACAUUGAAUGAAUAGAAUUUGUUACAAGCUAUCUACUUAUAUAGAAGAGAAAAGUACUGAUACUAACUAACUAACAGUGACUCACACUUUGUUAAUUUAUUCUAACUAACUUCUAACUAAUCAACACCUGUAUAUUUAACUAGUUGCUCAACAAUUUCAUCCUCGGUCUUAUUUUCAAGCUUAGAAUUACAUAUUACUAUAGUAUUAUACACUUGUUAAACUCAUAUGUCUAACAAGUAGUAAUUACUUAAGUAGUUGAAGGUGGGGCAAUCACUGAACCGUUAGCAAUCUUGGACUUUAAAGAUUCAGUCAAAUCUGGAGGCAUGUUUAGAGAAGCCUCUAAAAUUGAUGGAGAUGCUGCUUCCCAAAUUGAUAUUUCCCCACCUGAUAAUUCUCCAUAUACUUGGCCUGCAAAUAUACAUAUAGUUAGUUACAUGACAUUCUAUUUAACGCAUAAGUUUGUUACAUGAUAGAAUUAAGUACUUACUUUGACGACGUUUUCAAGGACAAGAACUCAAUUCCUCUUCCACAAUAAACGGAAAGAAUUUUGGUACAAAAAACAGUUCUCCUUCUUCCACUUUAGUAUCCAACACAACCUUACUUGAAAGUUCCACAAUUACAACACGUCCACUCCCUUUCAUAACAUAACUCAAUUGAACUGAAAAAUCCGCUGUAAAAAUCGGACCAAGUACAGCACCACCUUCCAAAACUACGCGAUUCGCGCUUAAUCCAACCUCUCCAAGCAACGCUAUGUUCUUUACCCCUUUUUUUACAUCAAUACAAGAUUUUGCAUCAUCCAAGUUGAAAACCAACUUGCAUUUCGCGCUAUUGGAUGGGUUUGGAAUUGGUAUACAUUCGUUUAUCUUAAGAUUUAAACUACUUUGGUCUUUUAUGAGUUUUUCAGAUUCAGUUUUCUUCAUGUGAAAAGAUUUAGCAAUUAAUUCAUUAGAGAAUCCGUUUAUUAUAUAUACCAGCAGCUCCAGUUAAAAACAAAAUAACAGUAUUCUCCAGGUGUGUAUUCAUCCGAUGAUUCUCCCAAGAAAAUUAUAGUGAGUUUAGAAUCACCAGCAUUGUACCACCAUGACACUGUUCCCACGGUAAUUGGUAGGGUAUCCCCUUUUUGAAUUUUUACAACUUCUUCUUUUGAAUCUUCUGGUGAGAUCAGUUCAGCAAUGCAUUCACCUGUUAUAAAAAAAUAUAUGGUGUUAUAGCUAGAAAUAUUCCAUUUGUUUGACAAUUUUUUUAAUUUUCAACUUUUCACCUAACAUAUUCUAGAUUUGCAUAAAUAUGUUAAUUAUGAAAAAAUAUAUAUAUGUAUGUCCAACGUACCUUCACAAACAUAACCAAUUUUAGAGGAAUCGGCAUAGUGAGGUCGAGCUAAGCCACGAGGCUGAAGAAGUAUAAUAAACCAGCAGCAGCUUUUUUCUGACUAAGAACAGGAAAUUGGAUACUUGACCAAGUGUAGAAUCCACCAACUCCUUCAACUUUCACUAUUGUUUUAUCUGCUUUUUUCGAUGACAAUAUUAUAUCCAUCGAUAUUUUUAUUUUCCUCAAAACACAUACUCAAACUAUAUACAAAAAUACCUUUUGAAGGUAAUUGUUAUAGACUCACACAUUCUGAAGAUUUUGUCUCUUUUAAUUUAUAGAGGCUGCAAACUUAGUAGGAUUAAUAAUUAAUUAAUGAUCUUGGACUUCUAAACAAUUAGUCGGUUAAAGUAGUUGAGUUCGCCCGCAAGGUCAUGGUUGAAUGGUUGGGACUUGGGAGGUAGCUCUCUUGAGAUCGCAUCUAGUCUCUAUGUGUACGUUGUUCAGUCAUGAGCUCGUUAUAUUGGGUGUGGUUAAUAUACGGUUUAUAUCUUUUGUAUGAUUUGUGAGUUAUUACAUAAUUAAUGACUAGGUUUCUACUUUCUACAAAGGUUCACGCUAGAAUGCACAUGACAAGGUGGUGGAUUGCCUUGGUUCCAAAAGUUUUUUUUUUUUUUGUUGGUUUUCAUGUUUUUCAAUUUUUUAGUUUCAAAUAUUGCGUGUCAUUAUCAUUAAAUUGUUACCCUGAAACACAUUCGGUGUGAUAUAACAAUAAUAAACACCCGUGCUAUGGACCAUCCUAAAAAAAUAUUAGAAUUAUUUAUAUACAUAAAAUUGUAUGUUUUUUAGACUACAAUUUAGUUUUAUUCACGUUAAUUUAGUGGGUAAGAUUUUGCCUCAAACAUAUACUAAAUAAUUUGAUCCGUUUGAGCCAAUGUGGUCAACUUAAAUGUAUAUAAUUUUGUUCCCCUCCAAUUUUAUAGUCAAAUCUCUUUAUAACCAUCAAUUGUUAAAACAACAUUUUAGUAUAACAAUCUAUUUUUUUUAUGGAACUAAUUUUUUAUAUUAUCUUUUAUUUUCUUUAUAAUAACAUUUUACUCAUAACCUCAACAUUAUUUAUACUUAUAGCAGUACGAUCUUUAUCAAAUUAUCCUCCAUAACAAAUUUAUUCAAAAAUUAUAUAAUCAUGUGUAAAAUAAAAUAUUAAAAUAUUUAUGAUAGUAAAUUUUAAAUAUUAAUAUCUAAAAAGGGAAAAAUAUAGUAUUUAAAUAUUGCCCAAUAUAUAUAUGGUAAUAACUUCACAAGAAAUGAUUACUGAUACUUACUUUUUUUAUAUUCAUACUCCUUUAAUUUUUGCAUUUUUUAUUUAUAAUAUAUAGUUAUGUGUAACAAUCAUCUAUUUUUAACUAUGAAUGUGUGGAUAGCAAUAAAUUGUUUGGAAGAGUAGAAAAAACUAAAUGAAGCAAAAAUGAACAAACUUUUAAAGUGAUGGGCAGGAAGUAAGGAAAGAAUGGGAGAAAACUAGAAGCUAAAAAUGACAUUGUUAGGGUAGUAUUGUAAUUUUUUGAGAUUGUGUGUUCUAGGCCUACAAUCCUUGAUCCGCUACUGCCCACCUUGUUAAUGAGGAUAGGAUUCGCCACAUUAUAAUUUCCUCUUAUUUUGUUGGGAUGGCAACCAGUAUGGUCCGAUUUUAUUUUAGCACGUUGCGCCCAUGCACCUGCUCUUUUCCGUCCCAUCUUACUCUAUCCUGCUUUUUAUGUGUUCAUUUUUUUUUAAAAAAAAAAACUUUUCCUAUUUUUUGGGACCCAUUUUGUUGAUGUAUAAGGCUCAGCCUAAUACAUGAAUAAUUUGAUUAUUCAUAUAUAUUAAUUUUAUUAUUUGUUUGAUUUGUGAAUAGAAUAAAAGUUAUUCAUCUAUUAAUUUUAUACAAUAUUUGUGUUUAAUGGUUGGUAAGUAUAUGAUUGAAAAAGAUGAUGAUUUUGAAGCGUGAAGCAUCACUUUUCUUAAAGAGAUAUUGUUCAUAUAUAUAUAUAUAUAUAUAUAUAUAUAUAUAUAUAUAUAUAUAUAUAUAUAUAUAUAUAUAUAUAUAUAUAUAUAUAUAUAUAUAUAUAUAUAUAUAUAUAUAUAUAUAUAUAUAUAUAUAUAUAUAUAUAUAUAUAUAUAUAUAUAUAUAUAUAUAUAUAUAUAUAUAUAUAUAUAUAUAUAUAUAUAUAUAUAUAUAUAUAUAUAUAUAUAUAUAUAUAUAUAUAUAUAUAUAUAUAUAUAUAUAUAUAUAUAUAUAUAUAUAUAUAUAUGUUCAGAAAAAUACAAGCGAUUCCCUUCGGGAUAUAACAAGAUCUUGAAUAUUUCCUUUUAUUUUUUUUUCUAAGAAGUGGUAGAUGCCUAAAUUUUAACAGAAACUUAAUGUAACUUUUGCUAGUCUAAGCAGCUAGCCGUCUUAUGCUGGUCAAUUGCAAGUGACAAAUGCAGUCUUAUUUCCAUUCAUAGUUACAAUAUAGUAUGGUUUACAGGCAGGCAUAAUUAAUAAGAUAGGUAAACAUGAACUCACAAUUGGACAUACAAAUUACAAGUACCGAAUUCAUUUUCUUUUUAUUUUAUUCUUAAUUAAAAAAAACACACACACAUAUAUAUAUAUACUGAUGAAACACAACAGCAUAUAAGCUCGCAUUAAGGAAAAGCUAAAACGUCAAAAGCUCCCAUAUAAUCUUUUACACACAUAUUGAUCAUCGAUCUUAUUUCAAGCACAUUAGAUUAUUAUAAUUAUCUAACAAGUAAUUACUUAAACAUUUGAUGGUGGGGCAAUGACGGCACCCUUAGCAAUCUUGGACUUGAAAGACUUUGUCAAAUCCGGAGUCAUAUUCAGAGAGGCCUCUAAAAU